UACGUAGGGUGCAAGCGUUAAUCGGAAUUACUGGGCGUAAAGCGUGCGCAGGCGGUUUUGUAAGACAGGCGUGAAAUCCCCGGGCUCAACCUGGGAAUUGCGCUUGUGACUGCAAGGCUGGAGUGCGGCAGAGGGGGGAUGGAAUUCCACGUGUAGCAGUGAAAUGCGUAGAGAUGUGGAGGAAUACCGAUGGCGAAGGCAGCCCCCUGGGAUAACACUGACGCUCAUGCACGAAAGCGUGGGGAGCGAACAGG
rnacentral:rRNA from 1 species